CAGCAGUCAGGAGCGGAGAGGAACCAGGCACACAGAGACAAAGGGAAAGAGGUGGACAGGAGCGACAGGUACAAGACAACUAGGGUAUGGCCGGGAAGAAGGUGCACGGGAUAGCAGGGCACGAUAGGCCCGCAGGGGUCGCUCCCAGGAACAGCGGGACAACAGGAGCGCGAGCAGGAGGGACAAUGGGGGUAUACGGAGCAGAGAGGAGAAUGGGCACGGCAGUAUCAGGAAGUCAGCUGAAUGAUAGAGGAGCAGGGAAAGGAGCACAGUGGGGAGCAGGAACAGUAGAAGGCAGUCCAGUUCCAGGGACAGGAGGUCAGGGUACCGGCGCAGUGCUUCAGGGUCAUCAGAAAGGAGUUACACAGUUUGGAGGACAAAAGGGAGUAGACGGGAGGUGCUGACAAGGCACAGAGGAGGGAGUAGGAACAAUUUGGAGCCCAGGGAAGAAGGGCGGGUGAGGCUGCAACCGUACAGACUACCCAGGUUAUCUUCUCCUUGCAGGUCGCUAAGUAGGUCACCC